GUCUAUGGUCAUACCAUCCUAAACGUGCAUGAUCUCACCUCUUCUCAAAUGCUAAAUAGGGUCAGGCCUGGCUAUUGCUUGGAUGGGAGACUGCCUCGAAAUAUUGGAUGCUGUAGGCU
rnacentral:rRNA from 1 species